rnacentral:tRNA from 1 species
GGGCCCAUAGCUCAGGGGGAGAGCGCCUGCCUUGCAAGCAGGAGGUCUCGGGUUCAAAUCCCGAUGGGUCCA